UGGGGGAUAUUGCACAAUGGGGGAAACCCUGAUGCAGCGACGCCGCGUGGAGGAAGAAGGUUUUCGGAUUGUAAACUCCUGUCGUUAGGGACGAUAAUGACGGUACCUAACAAGAAAGCACCGGCUAACUACGUGCCAGCAGCCGCGGUAAAACGUAGGGUGCAAGCGUUGUCCGGAAUUACUGGGUGUAAAGGGAGCGCAGGCGGGAAGACAAGUUGGAAGUGAAAACCAUGGGCUCAACCCAUGAAUUGCUUUCAAAACUGUUUUUCUUGAGUAGUGCAGAGGUAGAUGGAAUUCCCGGUGUAGCGGUGGAAUGCGUAGAUAUCGGGAGGAACACCAGUGGCGAAGGCGGUCUACUGGGCACCAACUGACGCUGAGGCUCGAAAGCAUGGGUAGCAAACAGGAUUAGAUACCCUGGUAGUCCAUGCCGUAAACGAUGAUUACUAGGUGUUGGGGGAUUGACCCCCUCAGUGCCGCAGUUAACACAAUAAGUAAUCCACCUGGGGAGUACGACCGCAAGGUUGAAACUCAAAGGAAUUGACGGGGGCCCGCACAAGCAGUGGAGUAUGUGGUUUAAUUCGAAGCAACGCGAAGAACCUUACCAGGUCUUGACAUCCGAUGCAUAACACAGAGAUGUGUGAAAUCCUUCGGGACAUCGAGACAGGUGGUGCAUGGUUGUCGUCAGCUCGUGUCGUGAGAUGUUGGGUUAAGUCCCGCAACGAGCGCAACCCUUAUUGCCAGUUACUACGUUAAGAGGACUCUGGCGAGACUGCCGUUGACAAAACGGAGGAAGGUGGGGAUGACGUCAAAUCAUCAUGCCCUUUAUGACCUGGGCUACACACGUACUACAAUGGCGUUAAACAAAGAGAAGCAAGACCGCGAGGUGGAGCAAAACUCAAAAACAACGUCUCAGUUCAGAUUGCAGGCUGCAACUCGCCUGCAUGAAGUCGGAAUUGCUAGUAAUCGUGGAUCAGCAUGCCACGGUGAAUACGUUCCC
rnacentral:rRNA from 1 species